rnacentral:rRNA from 1 species
GACCUGAGAGGGUGAUCGGCCACACUGGGACUGAGACACGGCCCAGACUCCUACGGGAGGCAGCAGUAGGGAAUCUUCCGCAAUGGACGAAAGUCUGACGGAGCAACGCCGCGUGAGUGAUGAAGGCUUUCGGGUCGUAAAACUCUGUUGUUAGGGAAGAACAAGUGCUAGUUGAAUAAGCUGGCCACCUUGACGGUACCUAACCAGAAAGCCACGGCUAACUACGUGCCAGCAGCCGCGGUAAUACGUAGGUGGCAAGCGUUAUCCGGAAUUAUUGGGCGUAAAGCGCGCGCAGGUGGUUUCUUAAGUCUGAUGUGAAAGCCCACGGCUCAACCGUGGAGGGUCAUUGGAAAC